CAAUCGCUCUCAUAGGACCACAGACGAUGAAUUCGGAUUAUUGGUUUGAUGACUGAUCCCAUCCAUGAACAAUACAGACCCCAUGAACAUUGAAGACAAACUCAUGCAAACUGCGGCUGCAUUGCUGGACAAUCCAGCUCCUUCUGGUAAUUAGGCAAACGCGAGGUCAAACAACGUCAUCUAAACGAACCAAUGUUUUAAAACCUGGACCGGGCCGGCCGGGAGCCGGAAACAUCACCGGGCCGGUUCUUGCAUUUAACCCGUUUCAACAUUGACCCGGAGGUCGGGCCGGCGGUUUGUCUAGUUAAGGUCGGGCCGGAAAGAAGGGGAAGAGAGAAUAAGGUUGCGGUGCCGGAGUUUUUCUUCCGGCCAGCAAAAUCUAUGCUUACCGGAGUACCCACCCCUAAAAGAAUUUUUAUGGUUGAUCCCUCGUCUGUUUUCUGUAAAACACUAGAACUAAAAGAAAAGGAGAUGCUGAACGUUUUUCGCCCGGACGACUGUGCGGCAGGCAACAAUCGACGGUGUUGAAAUAGGAAGCCACUGGUAUCACUUCUUAGUUUUAGCUUGCAGAUGAGAAAGAAGAUAAUUUAUCUGGGUAAUAUUAUUUGAUUAAAUAUUAAUAUUAGCAUGGGCUUUGAAAAACGAGCCUAGCCAUCAUGAAAUGUCAAUACUUUCUCUGGGAAAUUGUCAAAUCCUCUGCAAAUGCAAAAGCCAUCAUAAAUGUAAGUUAUUUUUGUUUUUCUUUUAUUUUUUUAUUAUUUAAUUACUAAAGGUGACAUAAAUUAUUUCAUGUGUACCGAUUAUUUGUUUAUAUGUUUUAUUUGUCAUUUCAAGUUUAAAGAUUUUGAAUUAAUUAACUAUAUUAUUACUUGAUAUAAGUUUUUUUUUUUUUUUUUUUUUUUUUUUUUUUUCUUUUAUCAUAACUUGCUAAUUGCUAUUAUUUUUAUAUUUAUGAGUGCAUGUUUUGAAGUAUAUUUUGAUAAAAAUACACUAAAAUUCAAUCAAAAUAAUAAUAAAGAAGGAACCAUUGGAAGCAUCAAAGACUAAUUGAUCUCUAUAUUUUAUAUAUAUUUUUUAUAUAAUUUAUGACAUAAUCCGGGUCUUAAAUCCGGUUGAACCGGUCGGACCGGUCCGACCUUUGACCCCCUAAGAUGACCGGGUCGACCUCCGGUCCAGUUCUGAAAACAUUGAGACGAACUGUUCGAAUAAGACAGGUCAGAAUAUGGUGAGGAUGAUUGUGUUCGUAUCUGCCUUUUGAUGUUACCAGUGUUAGGUUUGAAAGGUACCCAAAGCUACGAAACUAUUGGUAAAAAGGUGAUGAAUCUGGUUGAUUUGGCAGCAUGGAACCAGUAUUCGUGGGUUAGUUAUCUUUCGGAGAGCACAUAUUAGCAUAUUUAUGAUAUGACUCGUCGACCCCAAGAAGGUAACAUAGGGUUUUCGUUGCCUGGUUGCGUGCGGACAUUCAAGGUACAAGGUUUGAUUGAGUAAUCAAUCCUAUGUUCUUAUAUAAUAAAUAACACCGUUGUGCAUAUUUGUAUUUUAGAAAUGUUUCCAAAAUUUAAGGAGAUGGCUAAAUUAUAUAAAAAGGAAGAAAUUCCCAGAUUUUUAAGUUGGGGGCCAGGAAAAAGGAUUACAAGUUCACCGUUGAGCGAAUUUUUGAAUCGUUAAAGACGUUAAAGAUGGUAUUUGUUCAUAUUUGUUUUAUCUUGGGAAUGUAUAUUGUUUUUAGUAAUAGAAGAAAUAGGUUGAUAUAAAAUUUACUAUUUAACAUGAAGAAUGAAUAUUACCAUCCAAUUCAAUCCUUAAUUGCCACUAGUAACUAGAUGCAGACUGAGUGGUACAUAUCUAGUAUGCAAUAUUCGGAGAGUAUUCGGUUAGUGAAGCAGAUACCACCUAACAUGCAACCCGAUGCCGAGACGAUGCACACUAGUGGUUUUCAAUAACAAAAUGAUCGCGUUGCUAAUGGGUUUAAGGGUUUUGGAUCGUCGAUCCACAUGGGCACCCAACAACCAAAAAAAGAAGGUCUGGAAAUCAUGCCAGAGUCAAUUAUUCAAUUGAGGAUGAAUUACAAUUAUUUAUAGUAGAAAAAUUUAAAUCACUAUUGGACGAUCGGCUAGAUGCGAACAACGAGAAGCUUACUUGGCUAAUAAAGUCAAAGGUAAGGGUGAAAUUUAAUAUGUUUAUGUAAUGGUGAAUUAUUUUAAUAUGUUUAUAUGUUAUAUUGCAACAAUUUACACAACUAACGAAUCAAAAUGGUGAUCAAGGUAGUGUUCAUGCCUUCGAAAAGGUAACGUUGUGUUAUAUUGCAACGAUUUAGGCAUUUAAAUUACCUUAAAUUAAUUAUAUAAUUUAAUGAUGUUUAUGACUUACAGUUACAUAUGUAGGCGGAAGUCGACUCGUUCGUUCGUUAACUACAAUGAUGUUGGUGUUUAUCAUGUAUCAACAGACAAAUUGCAACCGCCCGAUUCUCUUUUCAAUGAAGACGAGAUUGCAGAUUUGCCUCGAUUAGAAAGGUUAUUAAAUCCGGCUAUGUGUAUGCUAUCACCUUUUUGUUGUGUUGAACAAGGUGUCACGGAGACAGAAUAGAAGAUUAGAGAGUACAGAAAGAAACUAAAAAUGAUCAGGGAUUCGUAUACCAAUGAGCUUUCUUUAGUAUCCAAAACAGAUUCAACGCUUCGGAGGCUUAGCAAAACGGUAGGUGGGAAAGUUGGCCCAGAAUUUUGGAGGUCGUUGCUGGGCGACGACGAGUCCGGUUGGUUAAGCGAUGAUAUGUAUGAAUCGAGGCAAUAAACCGACCGUUGGACCAUUCUACCACCGUAUUUCCAAAUGACCGUAUUUGACUGUGAGUCGACCCGGAAGUUGAAGUGUUAUUUCGAUGGCUUCAUGUACCCUGUUCCACGAAUUACCAAACUUGACGAGGUAACUUAUAUUUCAAUGUUAAACACUUUAUAUAGCUAAAAAUGGCAUUUUAAUGCUUGUAUAGGUUUAUGUUCCGUUGAAUAUUAGAAACUUACAUUGGUUUUUGGGGGUGUUCAACCUUCACGAUGAAACUCUUACAAUAUAUGGCAGGUUCUUGAUAAUUCUAUAGUACAUAUGCCACUAUAUAUUGAUUUUUUUAAUCAAUGCUUAUCUUACAUAUGUCUACAUGUGUAGUCUAUUGGAGAGUGUAACUUUGAAGAAAGGUAGAAUAGAAGUCAUUUUUCAUAUAUACUUUGCCUUCGACAAACGGCUACGCAUCAACGGCUACUAUGCGGAUAAGCCAUUGAAGAUGUCUUUCCCGUUCAUGGUGGUUUACCCCGAUAAGUCCCUCAAGAAUCAGGGGUGUUGGGAGAUUGCGGGGUUUGGGUUUGCAUUUUCCUAGAAAGGAUGAUCAACAAGCAACCCAUGUGUCAAGAAGGAGACACCGCUACGGUUGCGUACCAAAUGAGGCAAAGGCUUGAAAUAUUAUUCUAUGAUAGUCUCUUACCCAAAAACUUUGAUAUUGUCUCAACAUGCACGUCAAUGGAAAAUGAUCAUGAUGUACAAGUUGUAUAAUACAUAACUACAUUACAUUUUGGUUUUAUAUAUCAUCAGAAUUUGUUUUUGUUA